rnacentral:rRNA from 1 species
AUUGAACGCUGGCGGCAUGCCUUACACAUGCAAGUCGAACGGCAGCGGGGGAGAAGCUUGCUUUUCCUGCCGGCGAGCGGCGAACGGGUGAGUAAUACAUCGGAACGUGCCCUGUAGAGGGGGAUAACUAGUCGAAAGAUUAGCUAAUACCGCAUACGACCUGAGGGUGAAAGUGGGGGACCGCAAGGCCUCAUGCUAUAGGAGCGGCCGAUGUCUGAUUAGCUAGUUGGUGGGGUAAAGGCCUACCAAGGCGACGAUCAGUAGCUGGUCUGAGAGGACGAUCAGCCACACUGGGACUGAGACACGGCCCAGACUCCUACGGGAGGCAGCAGUGGGGAAUUUUGGACAAUGGGCGAAAGCCUGAUCCAGCAAUGCCGCGUGUGUGAAGAAGGCCUUCGGGUUGUAAAGCACUUUUGUCCGGAAAGAAAUGGCUCUGGUUAAUACCUGGGGUCGAUGACGGUACCGGAAGAAUAAGGACCGGCUAACUACGUGCCAGCCGCCGCAGUAA